rnacentral:rRNA from 1 species
CAGUAGCCGCGGUAAUACGUAGGUGGCAAGCGUUGUCCGGAAUUAUUGGGCGUAAAGCGCGCGCAGGUGGCUUAAUAGGUCUGAUGUGAAAGCCCACGGCUCAACCGUGGAGGGUCAUUGGAAACUGUUAAACUUGAGUGCAGGAGAGAAAAGUGGAAUUCCUAGUGUAGCGGUGAAAUGCGUAGAGAUUAGGAGGAACACCAGUGGCGAAGGCGGCUUUUUGGCCUGUAGCUGACACUGAGGCGCGAAGGCGUGGGGAGCAAACAGGAUUAGAUACCCCCGUAGUCCCUGUCUCUUAUAC